UUUUAUAGGAAGCGCUAGGUUUUAGUUCUCUGGAUAUACUUUAGACAGCAUUCCAAGUUAUAUUGAAAAAAGCUACAAUUUGCUGUAUUUCUCAUCUAAGGAAACACGCUUAAAUUGAAUGGGUCAAGAUUGCAUGCUUUAGUUAUAGCUCACUCCUUUACCUCUUACAACUUCACCAAUGCGAAAUGCUUUAUAAUGUCCAUCCUCAAGCAAUCUGUGGGAUGCUUCCCCAGUUACAAUUAGAACCAUGCCAAUGCCCAUGUUAAAAGUCCGCCUCAUCUCGGCAUCUUCUAUUCUUCCAGCCUCUUGGAUCCAUUUGAAUACAGUUGGGACAUCCCAGGAGCUAUUGUAAAUAACAGCUCCAAGGCCUUUUGGAAAAACUCGAGGUAUAUUGUCUGUAAAACCACCUCCAGUGAUGUGGGC
rnacentral:misc_RNA from 1 species